rnacentral:rRNA from 1 species
AACGUAGGAGGCAAGCGUUAUCCGGAUUCACUGGGCGUAAAGCGCGUGCAGGCGGUGCGGUAAGUUAGGCGUGAAAUCUCCCGGCUCAACUGGGAGAGGUCGUCUAAUACUACCGUACUAGAGAGCAGAAGAGGAAGAUGGAAUUCCCGGUGUAGUGGUGAAAUGCGUAGAUAUCGGGAGGAACACCAGUGGCGAAGGCGAUCUUCUGGUCUGUUUCUGACGCUCAGACGCGACAGCCUAGGGUAGUAAACGGG